rnacentral:rRNA from 1 species
GGAAUUGACGGGGGCCCGCACAAGCGGUGGAGCAUGUGGUUAAUCGAAGCAACGCGAAGAACCUUACCAGGUCUUGACAUCCCGAUGCUAUUUCUAGAGAUAGAAAGUUACUUCGGUACAUCGGUGACAGGUGGUGCAUGGUUGUCGUCAGCUCGUGUCGUGAGAUGUUGGGUUAAGUCCCGCAACGAGCGCAACCCCUAUUGUUAGUUGCCAUCAUUCAGUUGGGCACUCUAGCGAGACUGCCGGUAAUAAACCGGAGGAAGGUGGGGAUGACGUCAAAUCAUCAUGCCCCUUAUGACCUGGGCUACACACGUGCUACAAUGGUUGGUACAACGAGUUGCGAGUCGGUGACGGCGAGCUAAUCUCUUAAAGCCAAUCUCAGUUCGGAUUGUAGGCUGCAACUCGCCUACAUGAAGUCGGAAUCGCUAGUAAUCGCGGAUCAGCACGCCGCGGUGAAUACGUUCCCGGGCCUU